rnacentral:rRNA from 1 species
AGGGAACGCUGGCGGUAGGUCUAACACAGGCAAGUCGAACGGCAGCACAGUAAGAGCUUGCUCUUACGGGUGGCGAGUGGCGGACGGGUGAGGAAUACAUCGGAAUCUACUUUUUCGCGGGGGAUAACGUAGGGAAACUUACGCUAAUACCGCAUACGACCUACGGGUGAAAGCAGGGGAUCUUCGGACCUUGCGCGAUUGAAUGAGCCGAUGUCGGAUUAGCUAGUUGGCGGGGUAAAGGCCCACCAAGGCGACGAUCCGUAGCUGGUCUGAGAGGAUGAUCAGCCACACUGGAACUGAGACACGGUCCAGGCUCCUACGGGAGGCAGCAGUGGGGAAUAUUGGACAAUGGGCGCAAGCCUGAUCCAGCCAUACCGCGUGGGUGAAGAAGGCCUUCGGGUUGUAAAGCCCUUUUGUUGGGAAAGAAAAGCAGCAGGUUAAUACCCCGCUGUUCUGACGGUACCCAAAGAAUAAGCACCGGCUAACUUCGUG